GGUUAAGCGACUAAGCGUACACGGUGGAUGCCCUGGCAGUCAGAGGCGAUGAAGGGCGUGCUAAUCUGCGAUAAGCGCCGGUAAGGUGAUAUGAACCGUUAUAACCGGCGAUACCCGAAUGGGGAAACCCAGUGUGAUUCGUCACACUAUCAUUAACUGAAUCCAUAGGUUAAUGAGGCGAACCGGGGGAACUGAAACAUCUAAGUACCCCGAGGAAAAGAAAUCAACCGAGAUUCCCCCAGUAGCGGCGAGCGAACGGGGAGGAGCCCAGAGCCUGAAUCAGCAUGUGUGUUAGUGGAAGCGUCUGGAAAGGCGCGCGAUACAGGGUGACAGCCCCGUACACAAAAGCGCAUGUGCUGUGAGCUCGAUGAGUAGGGCGGGACACGUGGUAUCCUGUCUGAAUAUGGGGGGACCAUCCUCCAAGGCUAAAUACUCCUGACUGACCGAUAGUGAACCAGUACCGUGAGGGAAAGGCGAAAAGAACCCCGGCGAGGGGAGUGAAAAAGAACCUGAAACCGUGUACGUACAAGCAGUGGGAGCACAGGUUUACCUGUGUGACUGCGUACCUUUUGUAUAAUGGGUCAGCGACUUAUAUUCUGUAGCAAGGUUAACCGAAUAGGGGAGCCGGAGGGAAACCGAGUCUUAAUUGGGCGUUAAGUUGCAGGGUAUAGACCCGAAACCCGGUGAUCUAGCCAUGGGCAGGUUGAAGGUUGGGUAACACUAACUGGAGGACCGAACCGACUAAUGUUGAAAAAUUAGCGGAUGACCUGUGGCUGGGGGUGAAAGGCCAAUCAAACCGGGAGAUAGCUGGUUCUCCCCGAAAGCUAUUUAGGUAGCGCCUCGUGAAUUCAUCUCCGGGGGUAGAGCACUGUUUCGGCUAGGGGGCCAUCCCGGCUUACCAACCCGAUGCAAACUGCGAAUACCGGAGAAUGUUAUCACGGGAGACACACGGCGGGUGCUAACGUCCGUCGUGAAGAGGGAAACAACCCAGACCGCCAGCUAAGGUCCCAAAGUCAUGGUUAAGUGGGAAACGAUGUGGGAAGGCCCAGACAGCCAGGAUGUUGGCUUAGAAGCAGCCAUCAUUUAAAGAAAGCGUAAUAGCUCACUGGUCGAGUCGGCCUGCGCGGAAGAUGUAACGGGGCUAAACCAUGCACCGAAGCUGCGGCAGCGACACUGUGUGUUGUUGGGUAGGGGAGCGUUCUGUAAGCCUGUGAAGGUGGCCUGUGAGGGUUGCUGGAGGUAUCAGAAGUGCGAAUGCUGACAUAAGUAACGAUAAAGCGGGUGAAAAGCCCGCUCGCCGGAAGACCAAGGGUUCCUGUCCAACGUUAAUCGGGGCAGGGUGAGUCGACCCCUAAGGCGAGGCCGAAAGGCGUAGUCGAUGGGAAACGGGUUAAUAUUCCCGUACUUGGUGUUACUGCGAAGGGGGGACGGAGAAGGCUAUGUUGGCCGGGCGACGGUUGUCCCGGUUUAAGCGUGUAGGUGUGUGUUCCAGGUAAAUCCGGUUCACUUUAACACUGAGGCGUGACGACGAGGCACUACGGUGCUGAAGCAACAAAUGCCCUGCUUCCAGGAAAAGCCUCUAAGCAUCAGGUAACAUCAAAUCGUACCCCAAACCGACACAGGUGGUCAGGUAGAGAAUACCAAGGCGCUUGAGAGAACUCGGGUGAAGGAACUAGGCAAAAUGGUGCCGUAACUUCGGGAGAAGGCACGCUGACACGUAGGUGAAGUGAUUUACUCACGGAGCUGAAGUCAGUCGAAGAUACCAGCUGGCUGCAACUGUUUAUUAAAAACACAGCACUGUGCAAACACGAAAGUGGACGUAUACGGUGUGACGCCUGCCCGGUGCCGGAAGGUUAAUUGAUGGGGUCAGCGCAAGCGAAGCUCCUGAUCGAAGCCCCGGUAAACGGCGGCCGUAACUAUAACGGUCCUAAGGUAGCGAAAUUCCUUGUCGGGUAAGUUCCGACCUGCACGAAUGGCGUAAUGAUGGCCAGGCUGUCUCCACCCGAGACUCAGUGAAAUUGAACUCGCUGUGAAGAUGCAGUGUACCCGCGGCAAGACGGAAAGACCCCGUGAACCUUUACUAUAGCUUGACACUGAACAUUGAGCCUUGAUGUGUAGGAUAGGUGGGAGGCUUUGAAGUGUGGACGCCAGUCUGCAUGGAGCCGACCUUGAAAUACCACCCUUUAAUGUUUGAUGUUCUAACGUGGACCCGUAAUCCGGGUUGCGGACAGUGUCUGGUGGGUAGUUUGACUGGGGCGGUCUCCUCCUAAAGAGUAACGGAGGAGCACGAAGGUUGGCUAAUCCUGGUCGGACAUCAGGAGGUUAGUGCAAUGGCAUAAGCCAGCUUGACUGCGAGCGUGACGGCGCGAGCAGGUGCGAAAGCAGGUCAUAGUGAUCCGGUGGUUCUGAAUGGAAGGGCCAUCGCUCAACGGAUAAAAGGUACUCCGGGGAUAACAGGCUGAUACCGCCCAAGAGUUCAUAUCGACGGCGGUGUUUGGCACCUCGAUGUCGGCUCAUCACAUCCUGGGGCUGAAGUAGGUCCCAAGGGUAUGGCUGUUCGCCAUUUAAAGUGGUACGCGAGCUGGGUUUAGAACGUCGUGAGACAGUUCGGUCCCUAUCUGCCGUGGGCGCUGGAGAACUGAGGGGGGCUGCUCCUAGUACGAGAGGACCGGAGUGGACGCAUCACUGGUGUUCGGGUUGUCAUGCCAAUGGCACUGCCCGGUAGCUAAAUGCGGAAGAGAUAAGUGCUGAAAGCAUCUAAGCACGAAACUUGCCCCGAGAUGAGUUCUCCCUGAGACUUAGAGUCUCCUGAAGGAACGUUGAAGACGACGACGUUGAUAGGCCGGGUGUGUAAGCGCAGCGAUGCGUUGAGCUAACCGGUACUAAUGAACCGUGAGGCUUAACCUU
rnacentral:rRNA from 1 species